UUCUGUGUGAUAAUAGGAUGGAUAAUGGAGAGGCAUAUGGACUUGAAUUUUCAGCUUUUUGAGACAGUUACACUCUUCAUAACAGUAUUAGUUGUUGCCUUCAUGUUACAGGAUGGAACCUCUAAUUACCUUAGAGGAAUGAUGCUUAUUCUCAGCUAUAUAAUUGUAGCUGCUAGCUUUUAUGUACAUGUUGAUCCUACCUUCGAAGAGAGUUCUCCCACGAACUAGAUAGAUGGGAACUUCAAGCAUUCUUUCAUGGGAAAGAGAAGUUGACACGGAGACAUU